CUCUAAUAAAAUUAUUAUUAGUAAAAUCUGCUCAAUGAACUUUUAAUAGCCGCAGAUAUCUGUGCUAAGGUAGCAUAAUCAUUUGUCUUUUAAUUAAAGACUAGAACGAAAGAUUUAACCUUUAAAUAAUUUUCCAAUAACCUCAUAUAAAAUUUUUCCUAAAUAUAAAAAGAUAUUUAUAUUUCAAAAAGACGAUAAGACCCUGUUGAAUUUAACUGAAGUUUGACUGGGGUAGUUAAUUAAUUAAUAUUUUAAUAAUUCCCCCUUUAAAAAUAGUUCCAAAAUAUUGAGCUUAUGAUUAAAUUACCACAGGGAUAACAGCGUUAUAAAUUUUUAUAGCUCUUAUAUAAAAAUUUGUUUACGACCUCGAUGUUGAAUAUCUACCUAAUAAAUGCAACAAUUUAUUAAGGAAGUCUGUUCGACUUUAAAAUUUUUACA
rnacentral:rRNA from 1 species